rnacentral:piRNA from 1 species
UCCUGCUUGUAGGUUACUUGCAACCCGGA